UGAACACUGGUCCUUGAUGUGUAGGAUAGGUGGGAGGCUUUGAAGCGUGGACGCCAGUCUGCGUGGAGCCAACCUUGAAAUACCACCCUUUAAUGGCUGGUGUUCUAACGUGGACCCGUAAUCCGGGUUGCGGACAGUGUCUGGUGGGUAGUUUGACUGGGGCGGUCUCCUCCCAAAGAGUAACGGAGGAGCACGAAGGUUAGCUAAUCCUGGUCGGACAUCA
rnacentral:rRNA from 1 species